GACGAACGCUGGCGGCGUGCUUAACACAUGCAAGUCGAACGGAAAGGCCCUGCUUUUGUGGGGUGCUCGAGUGGCGAACGGGUGAGUAACACGUGAGUAACCUGCCCUUGACUUUGGGAUAACUUCAGGAAACUGGGGCUAAUACCGGAUAGGAGCUCCUGCUGCAUGGUGGGGGUUGGAAAGUUUCGGCGGUUGGGGAUGUACUGGCGGCUUAUGCGCUUGUUGGUGGGGUAGUGGCUUACCAAGGCUUUGACGGGUAGCCCGCCUGAGAGGGUGACCGGCCACAUUGGGACUGAGAGACGGCCCAGACUCCUACGGGAGGCAGCAGUGGGGAAUAUUGCACAAUGGGCGGAAGCCUGAUGCAGCAACGCCGCGUGCGGGAUGACGGCCUUCGGGUUGUAAACCGCUUUCGCCUGUGACGAAGCGUGAGUGACGGUAAUGGGUAAAGAAGCACCGGCUAACUACGUG
rnacentral:rRNA from 1 species